GAGAAGGAGGCACUGCUGGGCUGAGCUGGCAUCUCUGAGCUGGAGAGGGGCCCACAGGGACCUGGUGUCUCCUGGGAGCGGGGAGCGUGAGGAGGCUCAGGAGGUGAAGUAUUCAGUUCAUCCUCCUGAAGAAAACACCUGCCUGAGGAGAGCCAGUUGCCCUCUCCUCUGUGGAAGGAUAGGAAGAGAACACAUGCCUGUAUAUCUGGACAGCAGCACAGCAGAAAGAACAGGCCAUACGGGAAACAAAGAGGCAAUAAUAAUGAUAAGGAGUCAAUGAUAAAGAUUGCUCAGUGCCCCAAAGUCCUCCGAAAAUGACAGUGACGUGAUGGAGAUUAUUUAAUCCGACCUGCUUCAUGUUGCAAAUACGGAGACCGAGACACUGGAGGAAAAUGACUUGCUGAAGACAGAGCCAGCCCAAGGCAAAGCUGGGGGAACGUCUCUAAAGUGGAGAGUAAACAGAAAAACAUGCCAGCACGACUUCCCAUUCUACUCAAGAAGCUUGGCAUCCACAUGCCCACAGUUGGCACAAUCUGGUAGGAAACCUUGGGGUUUCUCUGACUUGAAGCAGGUCCUGGGCAAUUAGGUCCACCGAUGCUUUCCCCAAGCUAGGAACUUUGUCCCCACAGUUCUACCACGAAACUUUCACCAUUGCACGAAAAUGAACUAGAAGGACACUGUACAUAUGCCCAUGUUUUUCUGCUGCUUCCCUAGUCCUAGAGAUGAUAUUCUGCUGCUCUGGGAUGAGGUGUGUGGUGGGUUGAAGUGGCCCCCAGAAGACACACUCACAUCCCAGAACCUGUACAUGUGACAUUACUUGGAAAAGAAGUUCAUACAGAUGCAAUUAAAUGAAGGAUCUUGAGAAGAAAUCAUCCUGGAUUACCCUGGGGGACCCUAACCCAAAGCACAGUGUCCCUGUAAGAGAACGGAGACGCCAAGAAGUCCCCACAAGGCACGAUUCUUCUCUAGGGCUUUCGAAGGGAGUGGAGCCUGGCCAACACUUCGAUUUCGGACUUCUGUCCUCCAGAACCGGGAGAGAAUACAUUUAUUGUAAGUCACUUAGCUUGUGGCAACAAGCCAAGGAAAUGACUGCAAAUGUGCUCCUAAUGAUAGACCCGAGCUCAGAGACUUCUUCCACCAGAGAUGCUUUUCCCCUCUCUUGGAGAAUUUGCCCGAGCAGCAGCCUCUGUGGAUAGGUCAGCAACCAGCUCUUGGGCAAUGCAAACACCCCGAUGGGGCUGUGGCUGAAGAUCCACCCUGGAAAAAGCAUCUGGGGGUGCUUUCGGCAUCUCUUGGUGGGCAAGGCAUUGGAGAAAUGGCCUAAUUUUGGAACUAGGCAGACCUUGGUUUAAAACUCAACUCCACUAUGGCUUUGUGACUCCAGACAAAAUGCUUACCCUCUCUGUGCUUCAAGUUCCUCAUCUAUAAAAUGAGGAUAAUAGCUCCUACCAUAUAGGAGGGAGCAGAUCCAAGAUCUGAGACUUGCACAUUUUUAGAGACCUUUUUACAGAAGAAGGAUGCAAAGCUUCAAACCCCAAAUUAGAAGUGGGACCUUGAAAGGGCCUUGUGCCAGCGAGGGGCCCCCGAGGCUUACAUUAAGCCUGUCUCUGCUUCCAGGGUGUCCUGAGGUUUAUAGAUAAAAGCAUGAAGCUCUAGACAGGCCAGGCUCCUACUGCAUGCUCUGCAAGAGGUAGAGCUUUCUGAAUGAGGAAUCCAACAGUUAAGUGUCUACCAAAAGGCACACAGAUAUUUUUUCAAACCACAGAGAAAGGUAUGGUAGGAUAAAUUCCAUGGCAGCUUUCUAGCUGUUGCCUUGACAUCCAUUUCCCCUUUCUUUUCCAUAACAGAAAACUGACAUCUGUGGAGAUUGCCAUGUGCUCAACUAAAGCCUAGCUUCCCAAGCAGGUCUGGCAGAGACCUGUGGCCAUGAGUAAGUUCUGGCCCAAAGACAUAUAAGCAAAUAGAGGUCAGAGACUUCUGUAACAUCUUAUGGGAGUAUAUUAGGAAUUGAAUGGCACCUCCCUCAACCCCCAUGCAUAUGUUGAAGCCCUAAUCCUUAGUAUCUAAAAGUAUGAACUUACUUGGAAAUAGGGUCUUUGCAGAUGUAAUUAGUUAAGAUAAGGUCUUGGGGGGCAUAAUACAAUAUGAAUGGUGUCCUUAUAAAAAGAGAACACAGACACACAGAACACAGACACACAAGGCAGAGAAAGCGGUGAUGCUUUUAUGACAUUAGGAACAUCAAAGAUUGCUGGCAAAUUACCAGUAGAAAGGGGAGAGGCAAGGAAUAGAUUUUCUUUAGAGUCCUCAGAAAGAACCGACCCUGCUGACAACUUAAUUUCAAAUUUUUGACUUACAGACCGAGACAAUAAAUAAAUUUCUGUCGUGUAAGCCACUCCGUUUGUGGCAGUUUGUUACAGCAGCCCUAGUAAACUCAUACAGAGAGAUAGGCCCUUCUUCACCAAGUUUCCAUCCUGCUGCCUGGAAAGCAGAUAAGAGGGCUGGCCUUCCAUUAGCCAUCUUGGUCCAUGAGGAUGAGGUAGAGCAAAGAGCUAAAUGGAGCCUAAAACUUUACGGAACUGUCGGAUUAGCCCUGGACUGCCUACCUUGGGGCUUGUUUUCCUGGAAAAUAAGUAUAUUUGAAUAUUUUGUUAUUGUUAUUGUUUUGUUUGUCUUCUGAAACAUAAUCUUCACUGAUACAUUGUUUUGAAAAAUUAAUUAUUCUUUGGGGAAGGAUAAGGAUUGGAAUAACUGCAAACGGAAUUUUAGCAUUAUCUGUGAUGUUUCAUUUUUGAUAGCACAAUGUAUUCAUUAAUUCUUUUGUAAUUAAAACAUUUCACUUUGGGGUGCCUGGGUGGCUCAGUGGGUUAAAGCCUCUGCUUCUGGCUCAGGUCAUGGUCUCAGGGUCCUGGGAUCGAGCCCUGCAUCAGGCUCUCUGUUCGGCAGGGAGCCUGCUUCCUCCCUCUCUCUCUGCCUGCCUCUCUGCCUACUUGUGAUCUCUGUCUGUAAAUAAAUAAAUAAAAUCUUUAAAAAAAUUUUUCACUUUAUAAUAAAUAAAUUGCAAAGGAAAAAAAAAAAAAAGAGGGAUGGCCACCUACAGAUUAAAAGAGACCUGAGAAAUGUAUCAACCAAUUGCAAUGUAUGAACCUGAUUUGGAUCUUGAUCUAAACAAAAAGUUUUAAAAAAUUUAUAAGACAACCCAGGAAAUUUUAAUAUUAAUUGGAUAGUUGAUAUUAUGGAACUACUUAUUUUUAUGCAUGCUCAUAAUAUUGUAGUUAUAUAUUUGAAGUGCUCUUAACUUUUAGCAUCUAAAACAUUGUUUUUCACCCUUAGCACUAUUGUUAUUUUGGGCCAAAUAAUUUUUAGUAUAGUUGACCUACAAUGUGACGUUAGUUUCAGGUGUAUGACAGGACUUGGCCCAAUUAUACAUUAUGCUAUGCUCACCACAGGUAUAAGUACCAUCUGUCACCAUACAAUGCUAUGACAGUGUCAUUAUCUUUCAUCCCAGUGACUUACUCAUCCCAUAACUGGAAGCUGGUACCUCCCAUUCCUCUUCGCCCAUUUUGCCCAUCCCCCACACCCCUCCCCUCUGGCCACCAUCAGUCUGUUCUCAGGGUUUUAUAGAUCUGAUUCUGCUUUUUGUUUACUCAUGCUGUUGUUUAUUCACGCUGUUCAUUCAUUUUACUUAUGAGUGAAAUCCCAUGGUAUUUGUCUUUCUUAGUCUGACUUAUUUCACUGAGCAUAAUACUCACUAGGUCCUCCAUGUUGUCUCAAAUAAUCCUUUGUUGUGGGAAGCUCUCCCAGGUCUUGUAGGUGUUCAGCCCUAUCCCUGAAUUGGACUCACCACACGCCCAUCGCACACCCCUCUCCCAAGGUAGGACGAUCAGUAGCAUCUUUAGACAUAGCCAAUGUCUCCUGAAGGCAAAUUUGGUGUGGGUUCAGAACUACCGCUCUAAAAUUUGGAGAAAUUUUAGAGUAAUUUACUGGAAUAUUUAUGGGUGAAAUGAUUUGUUGUUCCAUAAUGAAAAGUUUAAAAUACAUUUUAAAAAAUUUGUAAGAUUCUGUUUGUAUGCUCUUUCUGUCAACGUGGUGGAGUCCUUGUGAAAUUUCUUCUUACU